CUCAGGCAACGCUGCCACAUCCUGCACAAAGCAAAAAUGCCCCAUCAGAAUGCUUGUUAGCAUCAUUUGCAUUCCGUCUGUCAUUUUCUUGCUAGCAUACUUGAAGUCAGUUCGGUUCUUUGUUUUUUGUCGACCUCAAGUUGGUUAGAAAUUCUCAUUCUUUACUAGCUCAUAUUUUGUUGUAGGAUUUUGCCCGCGGGUCUUAUUGCUUGUAUAAACCGGGGUGGCUGUAUCCAUGGCAACCAACAAGGAGGAUACAUUUUUAGGUCGUCUGGCGCCACUCAAAAAAAAUGUUUUCUUUUUUCUUUUGAACGGAGGCGGAGCCUGUAGAUGGCAGCAGGAUGGCCAGAUGUUACCUCCUUGUGCACAACCCCCACAGCCGCCCACCAGCAUGCGGGACUCACUCUCAGCAUGCAAAUGUCUCUGCACAUGCCAGAAGACAUUUUAAAAACGGAGGCAGGCAUUCAGUGUCUGCGCGUGAGCGUGAGCCGCGGUCGACAGCAGCUUCUCUGAGUGUUUCUUUUUUUGGUGACUGUUGCCCAUUCUUGCUUUUGUGUCUACAAAGCAGAAAAGAGAUCCUGAGGCUCAACCAUCAGUUUGACUUUCCUAGUUGAAGAUUCUACAUUUUCUUUCAUGAAGCUCAAUGCUGAUGCGUGCACAAUGUGUGUGUAUGUGUUGACUUUGAAACUAAUUGGCUCCCUGUUGAGCUGACUGCUGUUUGUUUGAAGAUCCGGACAGAAAAGGUGUCAGGUGGCCAAGAACGAGAUGCUUCACCUCGCGAUUAAGGGACCUGGACUAUUUUGACAUUCAGACGUGAGAAUUUCCCUCGCCAGAAGUUUGGAAGCUGAUUCCAAACAGCGCCGUUGUGUUACGAGCGUAUGACGUGUCUCCAUUGGCGGACGGGAAGGAUCACGUGCU